GAUGAACGCUGGCGGCGUGCCUAAUACAUGCAAGUCGAGCGAACAGACGAGGAGCUUGCUCCUCUGAUGUUAGCGGCGGACGGGUGAGUAACACGUGGAUAACCUACCUAUAAGACUGGGAGAACUUCGGGGAACCGGAGCUAAUACUGGAUAACAUGACGAACGGCAUGGUUCAACAGUGAAAGACGGUCUUGCUGUCUCUUAUAGAUGGUUCCGCGCCGCAUUAGCUAGUUGGUAAGGUAACGGCCUACCAAGGCAACGAUGCGUAGCCGACCUGAUAGGGUGAUCGGCCACACUGGAACUGAGACACGGUCCAGACUCCGACGGGAGGCAGCAGUAGGGAAUUUUACGCAAUGGGCGAAAGCCUGACGGAGCAACGCCGCGUGAGUGAAGAAGGUCUUCGGAUCGUAAAGCCCUGUUAUUAGGGAAGAACAGAUGUGUAAGAAAAUAUGCACGUCUUGACGGUACCUAAUGAGAAAGCCACGGCUAACUACGUG
rnacentral:rRNA from 1 species